rnacentral:rRNA from 1 species
UGCGAUCAUACCAGCACUAAUGCACCGGAUCCCAUCAGAACUCCGCAGUUAAGCGUGCUUGGGCGAGAGUAGUACUAGGAUGGGUGACCCCCUGGGAAGUCCUCGCGGUGCA